CUACGGGGCGCUCCAGUGGGGAAUAUUGCGCAAUGGGCGAAAGCCUGACGCAGCAACGCCGCGUGAGUGAUGAAGGCCUUCGGGUCGUAAAGCUCUGUCGGGAGGGAAGAACACCUUCGGGUCUGACGGUACCUCCCGAGGAAGCACAGGCUAACUCCGUGCCAGCAGCCGCGGUAAUACGGAGUGUGCAAGCGUUGUUCGGAAUUACUGGGCGUAAAGCGCGCGUAGGCGGCUUGAUAAGUCAGAUGUGAAAUCCCUCGGCUCAACCGAGGAGCUGCAUUUGAAACUGUCAGGCUUGAGUACGGGAGGGGGAAGCGGAAUUCCCAGUGUAGAGGUGAAAUUCGUAGAUAUUGGGAGGAACACCAGCGGCGAAGGCGGCUUCCGGGACCGAUACUGACGCUGAGGCGCGAAAGCGUGGGGAUCAAACAGGAUUAGAUACCCCUGUAGUC
rnacentral:rRNA from 1 species